CAGUCUCUCCAACUUUUCGCUGUCUGGAAUGUAGACUCCGUUCUUGAUGGAGCCGGCGAAGCCCAAGGGGUCGAAGAACUUGCCACCAGGGUAGCCUUGCUCUCCGGUGGCGUUGGCAAAGUUCUCCGAAGUCUUGGACCAAGGUGUGGCCCACUCAAUGGACUGGGACUCAGGGUUGUAGAAGUCCACCCAUCUUUUGCUUUCCACCCAACCCAUGAGCAAGAGCUGAGUGCCAAGCAGUGAGCCAAAGGAGAAGGGUGCUAUAGCGCUGGGGUCUGCCCCGGCUUCGAACCAUGGGACACCACUCCAGGCCUGGCCUACAAAGAUGCCGACCACGGCGGCCAUUGCCCACCGUCCGUGGAUGAGCUCAGCCUCUCUGUACCACUUUAGGAACCCUGGGUCCUUGCCUAGUCCUAGAGGGUCGAAACCGUAGUCACCUGGAAGCCUGCAUGCAUACAAUAUCAUAUAUUAUACUUCUUAUGGACAAAUCGAUAUUCUAAACUAUAUGUAUAUUAAUGUAUAUUAACAUGGUUGAUGGUUGAAAUGAGACUCACGAGCCAUCGAGCCACUCAGGAUCGAUGAAGUUGUUGCUGGCUUUAACGGCUGGGAUCCAAGACUUCUUAGGUGCAGCAGCAGCAACCACAAUGAACCUCUUAGGAGCAGCAGGGCCGCCUCCAACUCUGGUGGUUCCAAAACCAGCAGACAACAAGGCCUGGCUUCUCUUGCCUCCGCACAAGAAGGGUGAGUUCAACCCAUUAAGCACUGCACCAGUUGUUGCUGCCAUUUCCCUCUGUUUCUCUCUCUAGAUCUCUCUCACACUCUCUCUCUCUAUCUCUUGCACUCUAUCUAUCUACAAUUUUUAAAACAAUUAGAGCAGAGAGUUGGUAUAGGCUGAGAAGACUUUUGUGUGGUUUUUAUGAGAAGUGAGUUGGAGAGGGAAGAUCUAAUGAUAUCUGAGGAUGUGUCUUGGAUAGAUUUCGGACCAAUGGGAAACUACUACUCCCAGACCUCCAUCCGCAUCCUUGUAUUGCAUCCAACCACGUGGACCAUUACUUUGUCUUUGUCUUUCUCCCUCCACAGGCUACGCCUCCAAAAUAUCAAUGAUAAAGCUUCUUGCAAAAUCAUACAAUUAUAUCAUCUUUGUUUUCUUUCAACACAUGAACAGGAUGAUACAUCUGGGAAAGGAUUUAUCUUUUUUUUUUCCCUUACAAAUUGAUAGCCAGUUCUUUUUUCUUUUUUUCUUUUUUUCCCUUUUUUAAAAUUUCUUUGCUUCCCCAUUCACUUUUAAUAAUAAUAAUUAUUAUUUUUAAUUACAAAUGUGUAUACCUAAAGAAGUAUUUUAGUCGUGUGUUUGGAUGAAGAUAAUAAACUUAGAAUUUGGACGAAGAUUUAAAAAAAAAAAGAAAAGAAGAAGUUUAAAUUGACAUACGUCAUAGACAAAGAAUUUAUAAAUUUCAUGUGAAAAAAAGGGGGGUGCCAAAAAUUUAACUAUCAUCAUAGAAGUGAAAAGUAUUCAACAAAAUAAAUUAUUUAAAAAUUAAAAAUUCAAAGCAAGUCUUUAUGGAGGGUACAUUAAUUAUUUAGAUGAAAUUUAAAGUUGGAAUUUUAUCAAAAAUAUGAGGAUUCGAUUUGGGAACAUGUCAAUGCUAAUAUCAACAAAAAUUCAAUACGUAUGCAUCUGAUUCAUCAAAUUACCUAAAUCUAAGUGACAGCAAUACCUCAUGGAGCUCCUCAGGUCUUCUUGAAAGGGCAUCUAGGUUGAACAUGAGAUAUAUGAAGAACAAGUUCAUAUCAAAAUCAAUUUCGGCAGGUCUACUUGCCGUUCCAGUUGUGCUGCUCAAGCCUAGGGACACAGGUCAGCCUUUUAAAUGAAGCCAACAGUCCCACAUCGAAAUAAUUGUACAAAGUAUCUUUCAUUUGACCUUUAUAGAUAAGUCACUCACCUCAGUACACUAGGUAAUAAUAAUCUUAUACGUACACUGUUACUCUGUCAAAUUUUCUUUAUACUUAACACUCAUACUAACUUAAAUAUCAAAUAAUCAUCGAUCAGUACCAUAUCGGUGUCUCAUAUUUCACAUUUGCUCUCUUCUCUUGUGGAUGAACUCUCCACCAGUCAUAGGACGCCUCGACCAAAAGCAAGCUAACUUCUAAGUUGAUUGCAUUUUUGGACAUCAACAAUUGUCAUCCUAGGGUCAUGUUCCUCAUAAAACAAAUUUUUUUUUAAUUAUGAAAAGUAAUGAAAUGCAACCUAUGAUAUUAUGAAAUAAAAUAGUCAAAUAUGAUUUUACAGGAAAAUACGUUGAUGCCAAGUCGUCUUCAUUCCUUUGACAAGAUGAAAGUCAUAUCCUACAAUUCUAAGAUCCAAGGCUGAGCAUUUGGAAUUUGAAUUACAAAAAUGAUUUGUGCAAGGAAAGCCUUUAAAAGAAGGUACAGCCUUUACACAAUCUCUUUAUCACUUCUAGGCGUGUGUGUUAUUAUCAUCUGAAUUUUUAACGGUGUAAGACGUAGAUGCUAAAUUUCAACACUUUAUAAAGUUCAUGUGAUUAAUAAUAAAAAUUAAAAGUUCAGGUGGUAAUAACGCAUAAACUUAAAAGUUCAGAUGAUAUUCAUGCAAACUUCCUUUUUUGGUAAAAUACAGAUAAUAGUGAGAGGGAAAAAUUGAACUUCAAAUACAAAAAUAAAUGCUCUUAACUACUCGAACUACAAGCCAUUACAAAUUUAAUUAACUAUGGUGCUGCGCUCGAAUUUCUUCUCCUAAGAGUGGCUCCAGCGAAGGAGCCCAGCCCGAGGCAAGGGCAGAAAAAAAAAAAAAUUUCGCUCCAGCGUGCAGCCCAGGCCCGGGUUUGGUGUGGGACCCACCAACUCGGGCCAGCCCGAAGGCCAAACCAGCCCCAGGUCCAAAACGCGGGUGCUGACGUCAGCGCUGGCGUCACGCUGACGUCAGCUAGGGCUGUCAAAAAAUUUUUACCGUUGGCGCGUGCAAUGCACGCGCCAACGGUAAAAAAAUUUUGAAUCAGCGCGCGCUGACGUCAGCGCUGACGCCAGCGCCAACGGUUGGCUGCCACGUGUCGCGCUCAGUGCCUUCCGAUCUGCUUCUCCUUUCUAAUCCAACGGCUGAGGCUUUUUUGGGUGAAAAAAAUAUGAAAAAAAAUUCUAAAAAAUUCUAAAAAAUUAUGGUAUUUUUUUCUAUAAAUACCUAUCAAUACCCUUCACUUUCAACACCAAUACUCUUACAUUUCAUUAUACUUCUACUAAUAUUCACUCUUUUUACACAACAUUUUCCUCUUUUUCAUCUAGCAUUUUGAUUUCAUAUUUUUAUGGCUUCUUCUAUCGAAACCGGAGGGGCUUGGAGCACAAUGGAAGAUGUUUCUUUGUGUGAGGCUUGGCUCCAAAUUUGUCAUUGUCCCGUGUCCGGCAAUGAAAUGAAAUUUUUUCAUAUGUGGAAAAAAAUUCAUGCCGAAUUUUGUGAAAAAAUUCCGGGGUCUACUCGUACGGAGAUGGCAUUAUCCAGUAGGUGGAAAAUUCUCAAUAAAGAGUUGGGAAAAUGGAGAAAUGCCCUAGCAAAAGCGAUGGACAACUAUAGAAGUGGGCAAAAUCGUACUAACGAGGUAAGUAUUUUAUAAUUUUUGUGUUAUUAAGUUUAAUCUCCUAAUAUAUAUAUUUUGUUAAUAUUGCUUGCAUUUUCAAUAUGUUGUAUAUAUUUUGUUAAUAUUGCUUGCAUUUUCAAUAUUUUGUUAAUAUUGCUUGCAUUUUCAAUAUGUUGUAUAUAUUUUGUUAAUAUUGCUUGCAUUUUCAAUAUUUUGUUAAUAUUGCUUGCAUUUUGAAUAUGUUGUUAAUAUUUCUUGCAUUUUCAAUAUUUUGUUAAUAUUGCUUGUAUUUUUAAUAUGUUGUUAAUAUUUCUUGCAUAUCCAAUAUAUUUUAAAUAUUUAUUGCAUUUCCAUUUUUUUGUUCAAUAGAUGAUUCAAGCACAAAUGUGGUUCGGUGCAACCGGGGGUGGCAAAAAAAGUUUCACCCAUCAUGAAUGUUGGGAGGUGGUGAAAUUUUGCAAACGCUUCGUAAUUAUUCCAACGGGUCCGGAGGUUGUGUUAAACGAGACGCCACUCCGUGAUUCAAUGACAUCGGAUUCACCUCUUGAUUCUCCUAUGAGUCAAGACUCACCCAUCGAAAAGGAGCCGAGGCCCAUUGGCCGAAAGGCCGCGAAGGCAAAGAAGAAGGGUAAUUCAAGCAAUCAAAAUUCACAAUUUUUGGAGGAAAUUGCAAGGCAAAACGGCAUAAGAAUAGAAAUGGAGCAAAAACGCCAAGAGCACGAGUUGGCCCUUGAUGCUGAGUUUGCACGUGAAAGGGAGUAUUUGCGCAAAAAAGAUAUGGACAAGACAGAUCGGGAAACCAUGGCGAUGGAUACAAGUCAUAUGUCCCCUGAAACAAAACAAUUUUGGAAGCUAGAACGAAGGGAUGUUAUGAGAAGAAGACUUUUCCGGGAUGAUGGGCCUAGCAACACGGAUUGGUUAAAUGAUGGAAACCAUUAAAUUAGUUAGCAUAUCUUUUAUGUAUUUGUAUUUUAGUUGUUUUCUAUUAAAGUUGUUAUAAUUCAUGUAUUUUAUUUUAUUAGUAAUUCAUAAUGACUUGUAUUACAUUUCAUUAUUUAAUAAACAAAGCAUUCAAUAAAUUACCUUUUUAUUCAACAUAUUCCAUACUUCAAACAAAACAUAAUAAAAUUAAAAUUAAAAGUACAAACAAGGCACAAUAAUAAAAAUAAAAGUACAAACAAGGCACAAUAAAAAUAAAAACACAACCAAACCAUACUAAAUAAAACAUAAGCAAAGCAUCUAUUCUCCAUUAUUAAUCUUCAUUGCCUUUCACCGCCCAUAGAUGCUCCAUCAAGUGAAAUUGACGCAUUUCAUGAAUAUACGAAGAUUGCAUCUCCGUAUAUCGAUCUAUCAUUCGGGUCAUCAAAUGACCAUCCCUCACCAACGGUUCCGGCUCAAACGGUUCUCCAUUUGGCCCCAUGGGCCUUUCAUAAAUCCGUGUCAAAGCCGUGUUCAUUGGAUCCGGUUCGUAGACCUCUAAAGCAUCAUAAUCGUACUCAUCCUCCACAAUCAUAUUAUGGAGGAUGAUGCAAGUCAUCAUAAUGCUUCUGAGGAUCUCCUCAUCAAACAUGCGGGCCGCACCUCGAAUAAUCAACCACCUGGCUUGAAGGAUGCCAAAACACCUUUCGACAUCUUUCCUGUAUCCCUCUUGAUAUGUAGCAAAUAAUUUUUGCUUCUGGGAUCGGGGAUUUGGAAUGGUUUUGACAAAAGUCGUCCACCUCGGGUAGAUUCCAUCAGCUAGGUAGUAUCCUGUCUGGUAUACUGUAUUGUUGACUUCAUAGGUGACAUUGGGGCCCUGACCUCUCAAUACAUCGUUGAAGACGGGGGAUUGACCCAGCACGUUGAGGUCAUUUUGUGAUCCUGCAACUCCGAAGAAGGCAUGCCAAACCCAUGUGUCGAAACCAGCAACCGCUUCAAGGAUGAUACUUUUUUGGCCUUUUCGAUUUCCAUAAUCACCUUGCCAGGCAGUUGGGCAAUUCUUCCAUUGCCAAUGCAUGCAGUCGAUGCUACCAAUCAUUCCAGGGAAUCCUCGAGCUUCGGCUUUUUGCAGAAGCCGUUGGAGGUCCCUGGGAGUAGGUCUACGCAGGUAGUCCCUAGUGUACAGAGUUUCAACAGCUUGACAAAAUCUUACCAAAGCCUCCAACGUAGUGGACUUCCCCAUCCGGGCAAUCUCAUCCACCUGAUCAGCAGAUGCUCCAUACGCCAACAUUCGUAUAACAGCUGUAAGCUUUUGCUCCGGAAGAAGCCCCAAAACCCCAGCAGCAUCACACUUUUGAACAAAGUAUGCAUCAUAAUUGCAAAUAUCAUGCAUGACUUUAUUGAACAAAUGAGGUUGCAUUCUAAAUCGCCUUCGAAAAUCAACAUCAGAGUACAAAGAAGUUGGGAUAAAAUAAUCUUCCAAAAGAUUCUUACCCCUAGAAUGCCUAUGUCUUUCCACAUUCCGGCGGCGGCCGGCUUGUGAACUAUGGCGGCGACCUUGGUUCUCUUCUUCUUCCAAAGCCACUGUUAUGAGAACUUGCUCAUCGACUUGUCUCUGCAACUCAUUGACUUCAUCUGCUCUACGGUUUCUCUCUCUUCUUUCUCUCUCUUGUCUCUCCAAGCAUCUCCUAAAUUCUUCCAUUCAGAAUGAAUGAAGUAUGAAUUAUAAACUCUCAGAAAUGAAAAUAUAGAAAGAUGUGGUGUGAGAGGUAUGAGCUGAGACUCUGGUUUUAUAGAAAAAUUUGGCAAGAUAGACAUGCCAUGUGGCUUGAUUUUAUUGGAUGAAAAUCAUAUCUGAAAUUUGAAAUUCAUCCGAAAUUUGAACCCUAAUUUGUAUGAAAUUCAAAAUUUGAAAUUCAUCCGAAAUUUGAACCCAAAUUUAUCUGAAAUUUGAACCCAAAUUUAUCUGAAAUUUGAAUUUUGAAAUUCAUUCGAAAUUUGAACCCAAAAAUUUAUCUGAAAUUUGAACUUUGAAAUUAAUCCGAAAUUUGAAUCCAAAUAUCUUAUCCGAAAAUUUUAUCUGAUUAUGAAUAGUCUUGACACGUAGGAAUCCGAAAAUCUUAUCUGAAAAUAUUACCCAAAUUAAUUAUUUUCAUUAAAAAAUAGGAGGAAAAAACAAAAAAGUGAAUAGUAAUUGCCAUGGCUAAGGGCAACGGGUGGAGAAACGAUUUACUAUUUGCAAGGGCAACUACUAUUCACGUGAAUAGUGCUUGCCCUAGCUCCACCCUUGCCAUGGCUAAGGGCAAAUGGGUGGAGUUGCUCUAAAGAAAAAUUACAGCCUUACAGGAGAAUAUUGUUGAAGAAAUGAUGUGUCAUUGUCUGGCGCUAGGCCCUUAAACAUCCGUGCCACGUGAGCGUGCUCGGGAAGAAUGACCGUUUUCCAAUCCCCACCGCCCCGUUUUCUUGAGACUCAAUGUUAAGUCAUAGUGGCACUGGAGUGAUAACAGAAUCGAUAUUCAGAUAAAAUUAUAAACAAAAAAACAAAAUCAAUACCAAAAAACAAUCCAGAAGGUUGCCUUGCCUUGCCAUUCUUAUAAAUAAAUAAAUAAAUCUAAAUGCUUAAAUAAAUCAGAAAAUGGCUGAUCCUUUUCUAUGCCUCGUCAGAAGUCGGUGUUUGAGCUUCUCUGCCUUCUCUCCAGCUCCCUUUCCAUCUCCAAAUCCCUUCCUCCAUGAAAAACUUGGUAGAAUUCACACUCCAAUUGCAGGAUUUCCUAAGCCCAGGCCGACGCUUGUUCCGCAUUCAUCCUCGCAAUUACAUCUGAUUUCCACAAGCGGUAUGUAUGCUGCCAAUUUUCUCAGGAAGCAAACAACAGAGCAUUAACAAAUACAUAUUUAUUUAUUUUCUUAUUGGGUUGUAAUUCUUGUGACAGAGUGGUUUGAUGGAAGCGUCGUCUUCUGCUUUGGGGACGAGAGCGAGAAAGCUGUUGCUGUUCCCACUGAAACGGAAAUUGGCAAAGAGGAUUGUGAGUGUCAGGUUGUUACUGAAACUAAUAAUACUAGUAGUCUUCAUGUGCAAAAUUCAGAAUUGAGCGAAGAAUUUUUGGGGAGCAAUGUGCAUGAAUCCGAAAUUAAACCCGAAAUUCGUGCUUUUCCGGCAAGUUCCGGUGCCGUCAAGGAGAACGCUGUCGUUCAUACAGAUCCUAAUGCGGUUUCAGCCACCAGUACCAACAACAAUGUGACUGGUGGAGAGGAAACAGGGCAUGCCGCCGCAACCACCGCAGCAGAUGAAACUGAAGAAGGCUCAAAAGUGGUUAGUCACUCUUCUUGACUGUCUGUUUCCUCAUUUUUUAGAAAUUUUGAAUUGGCAGUUAUUUCGCUAUGGGUACCUUUAUUUCUUGCGUAAUCAGUGUAAUUGGUGCUUAAAUCAAAUGGGCUUUGCCAAGGCUUCAUGCUAUCAAAGUCAAAAUAUAGACUACACACAUAUAUCUAUAUAUGUCUAAGUUGCAGGGAUGCUUGAUUUGGUAUUAGAUGGAUGCUUUAUGUGAGUAUUUUGACAUUGCAAAGAGAUUGAGUAACUGGUUGAUAGAUGCUAUAUAUGUGCAAGAGCAAGGAUUCAUAUUUCUGUAGCAACAAAAUAUGAACCCUUGCUCUUGCAUUUUCUGUUUCUUAGGGACUCGCUAAAUUUUUUAUAGCUUUUGAUACUUCCAACAGUUUCUGUUUAUAUGUUUGAGCUGUGCCCCUUUAGUGUCUUUAAAUAAAUCUUACAACUUAUCAUAAAAGGUGACUUUUGUAUUUUACUCUGUUGUUAUUUCUAUUUGUUUCCCCACUCUUUUGAGUGUGUUUCAUUUGGUGCUGGUCUCAAGAAAACACCUCACCGUGCAAGUUUUAUGGCUAAAGUAAAAAAGCUGUGGCAUCAAAGUGUGCAUCAUUUGGAAACAAUUCAUGUAACUUACUGGGUAAGAAUCUGGAGACAGAAGUUAAAGUGAUUAAGGCUAAUUAAAUUUUAUAGAAAAGUUCUCUGGGGCCACUGCCCAAAUACACAUUAAGUCUAUAAUUUAAAGAUACAGAGAAACAAUAGAGUCUGGAAAAGAAUUUAAUGAUAUGGGAUAGAGGCUAGUAAUCGACAUGAAUAAUAAAUGUGUACUUGGUUCCUUUUUGUUUUGUUUUGGUACAUCUAGUGUGGAUUGGGAUCGAAUAUGGUGUAAGAGAUGGAAUGUCACAAAUGGUGGAAUAUUGUACCUGAGCUUAGAUUCGUAUAUUUUGCUUACUAAUAUUCUCAUUGGUACCAGUGGAUCAAUUAAAGAGAUUAAGGUGGAAGUUCCUGUUCAGUUGGAUGAUAGAUUUAGCUAUAGCCUGAUGAACUGGAAUGCUGUUCCUCCCUGUUGUAGGAUGUAAAUGUGAGGGUCGAUGCAUUAGCAGUUAAGCCCUUUCAGAGAUUUGUAACAAGAAUGUUAUUUCAAGAUUGGCAAUGGAGGUCAAGUUUGGGAAGGGAAGGAAGGAAGGGCAGCUUUGACCAUUUGACUGCAGUUUUUAUGAGGAGGAGGAAGAAGAAGAAGAAGAAGAAGAAGAAGAAUUUGUGCACAUAACAGGCUAUUUUACUGCAUCCUAUGGGGGAGUUCUUAUGGGAUUGGUUUUUGUUAAACUUAACACAUUAACAACAAUAAUAAGAAGAAGAAGAAAAAUGGUGGGCAUCUUUUGUAAGCUUUAUUUCUUAUAAGAAAAAUGGUGGUCUUAUAUUUACUCUUAGUAUUAGUGGUGGACAUAUGAUAACUUAACAGUAGGGGGACCUGUUAUGUUUUCUAAGACCCAAAAAGAUUUUUUGAUUAAGAUACCAAAAGCCUUGAGUUUGCGCAUUCGUGCACACGUGUAAGAACUGCAGAGCACACGUGUUUUACAAAUUUUCUUACUUUAUAGCCUGACCUUUAGCUGAAGUAGGCAUAUAGUUGCUACUUUCCGUUUGACAUGUGACAUAGAUUUCUCAUAUUAAGGAACUCAAAUGCUUUUGUUUUGUGUUGUACAUAGUUAGCUGAGAAUGCCCCUUCCACAAAUUCAGAAGACAAAUUCACAGAGGGAAAAGCACAUAGAAGAGAUGUUUCAGGAGUAUCAACUACUAGGGUAGUGGAAUUGCACACAUUUGAGGGCACUCCUGAUGGGUAUGCUAGUUUUUCUCUCGUUUGCACUUCUAAUAUGAAUAAUCUUCAUCUUGUUAUUCUGUUUUUGAAGUUCUGUUUCCUUUAAGAAGUUGAUUCUGUUUUAUUGGAAAAUGAAAGGCAGAUAGAAAUCACUAGAGGAGUUAAAUAUGGAGCUGCUGUCUGUACACUGUAGGUGUACCCGCACUUCUUAAGUGUCCCCAAAGGAUAUUUCCCAAGGAUAUCAUGAGUUUAUCUAUCGUACCAAGUCGGUUCUUAGUAAUGGUGAAAGGAUUACUUUUUGGGAAGAGCCUUGUUUAAUGCUUUGUUUUCCUGGACUUUACUGUUUGUCUAAUUUUGAUAGGUUUCACCAAACAGUAUAGUACAGCUGGCACUUGCUGUCUUGAGCCUUAAAACUUUCUUUUUCCUAAAUCUUUUCUUGUUAUCAGAAUUUCUUUAAUCAUAAGCAACACCCACCUUCUGCUAUCCUCCGUCAUCACAUCUCACAUUUCUAUUCUCUGUCUCUAUCAUUUUUUUUUUCAAAAUAAAAGAAGCGUUAUGAAAUGGGUCCUAAAAUCUCUACAUAGAAAUUACUGAGAUAGGUUUGUCUGGUUGUCCAUUCCUUACAAUAGUUCUUUCCAAUACACAGGGAGGACAGAUCUGCAGCGGUUCUUCAACUAUCUUCUAGUGCUGCUGUAUUACCUCAUCUCCCAAAGGUAUCUUCUGAAUUUUUAAAUGUAAUGUUUUUAUAUAUGUAUACACACACACACACACAUAAGCCUUGAGUUUGCGUAGUCAUGUACACACGCAAGAGCUCUGCAUGCACACAAGUUUUACAUGUUUUCUUAAUUUAUGGCCUGAUCAUGAGUUCAAGUUGGCAGCUCACUCAGUAGGCAUAUAGUUGGUUUUUUCAGUUUGACGUGUGACACAGUUCUGUCAUAUAAGGACCUCAAAAGCUUUUGUUUGUUUUGUACAUAGUUAGCUGAGAAUCCACCUUCCAGAAAUGCAGAAGAUGAAUUCACAAAGGGUAAAUCACAAAGAGGAGAUGUUUCAGGAGUAUCAACUCCUAGGAAAGUGGAAGUACAUACAGUUCAAGGAACUUCUGAUGGGUAUGCUAGUUGUUCUCCUCAUUACAUCUCUAAUAAAAAUAGUCUUCAUAUAUUUAUUCUGUUUUUUAUGUCUGUUUCUUCGAAAACAUUUAUUCUGUUUUAUUGGAAAGUGAAGGGAUGAUAGAAAUCACUAGCAGAUAUUAAACAAACAAAAAAACAUGGUGCUGCUGUCUGUAUGCUAUUUGUGUACCUGCACUUCCCAAGGAUAUCAUGAGUUGAUCUAUCAUACCAAGUCAGUUCUUGGUAAUGGUAUUAAAUUUUGGGAAGAACCUGCAAUGAUAAGUCUUUUUAUGAUUUGUUUUCAAAGACUUUAUUGUGUGUCUAAUGCUGAGGGUUUUCUCCAAUAAAGCGCAAGAGGAGAGCUGACACACCCUUUCUUAAACACAUGGAAGAUAAUGAUUGUAUUUCUGGUCGAAUUCUGAACUCGGAUGCAAUAGCUAUUGCUUGGUUAGAAAAGAAUUAUCCUAUUUGGAAUCUCAGACUAUUCACGUUGACCCAAAUCUUACAAUAAGGCCUUAAAACUUUCUUGAUACUUAAUCUUACAUCUAAUGUAAGUGCUACAUCUUUUCCUGUUCCCAGAAUUUCUUUUAGCUAAACUCCACCAUAAUCGUAAGCAACUCCUACCUGGCGCUGUCCUCUGUGUUUACAUCUUAUAUCUCUAUUUUUUCUUCAAAGAACAAAAAGCAAAAAAAGAAAGGAUUGUUCCUAAACGGAUCCUAAGAUCUUGUCCAUUUGCAACAGGGAGGACAUAUCUGCAGCGGUUCUUCAACUAUUUUCUAGCGCUGCCUUAUUACCGCAUCCCUCAAAGGUAUCUUCUUGACUUUUAAAUGUAAUGUCUUUAUUGGACAUACUUUUUAUAACUUUUGGGCAAUUUAGAAUGGUACGUAAUGAUGGCAACUUAGAGUUGUAUUCAAUAUGUUCUCCUUUUACAAAAACUAAACUUUCAGUUUGGUCUAACUUUGGUUUCAUGAAUUCCCACUGUCGUUAAUAUAAUUCCUUGUCCUUUUAAAGUUCUUUUGUUGCCCGAUAUGAAGGAAAAACAUAGCAACUAUUAAGCUAAAAUUCGUAGUGGAAAUACAAACAUUUAUCCUGUUGAACUUCCAAAUAUCAUUUUAUGGUUAUGGACCAUGUUUUAUUCAUGCAUAGAAUGGUAAGUAAUGCUGACAAAUGAGUUGAUGUUGUAUUCAAUAUGUUCUGUUUUUACAAAAUUUCAGUGUUUCACCGAGUGGUCAAAAGAAAAACAAUGUUUCACAGUUAUUAAAGCAACAAUCAACCCCACCUAUGGACCACAUGCAUCCUUAAAGAAAAGAAUCUACGUUGUCAACUUUGUCAAAUGACCACUCAUUCUCUCAUACUAGUGCCACUUCCCCCUUUUGAUAUCCAUAUAUAUAUGAUAGUCUCUUUAAGCAUCAAGAAACUCUAAUACAUGGCACAAGUUGAGAAUGCAGGACUUUUACCCUUUGACCCAUUUUGACUAAGGUGAGUGGCACCUCUUGGUCAACCACUUUAACCAUCCACAUAGAGUUAAUUUUAGUCUUAUUAUUAACUUCUUCAAAUCAAGUUUUCAUCCAAUGGCAUGAUCUAAUUAAUCAUUGACAUCAUGAGGACGGAUAACACUAACUUGCUGUGCAUGUAAAAUAUGCAUAUUCAUGUCUUAUGUGAGAUUUGGAGUGGACGUUAUAAUUAAUAUGGCAUCUACAAAUGCAUUUAAUUGUACGUAGGUAGACACACGCUUACAACGACUGGUGCACAGACACAAUGAAGUUCGAUGGUUGGUUGGCUUGAAGUAAAUUUUGUCUACACACAAACAUACACAUGCACACCUGCAAUACUUACUUGACCCUUGGCUUGAAUUUAGUACAAGUGUAAGUAAUUCAAGAAUUAAUAAAUGCCAGGCAUUGACAGGUGGGGAGGAUGCUUACUUUGUUGCUUGCCAAAACUGGCUAGGUGUGGCUGAUGGAGUUGGUCAGUGGUCACUAGAAGGUAUCAUGGCGGAAUUUUUUGUUUGUUAUUUCAUAAUAAGUCAAAGUCUGUUCUUCUUUUUUCUUCUUUUUUUUUUAUAAUUUUGUUCCCUUGUAUUUACUCGUAAAGAAGAGGUCUAUUUUCUUGCAGAUUAGCAAUGUACUAAAAUUUGAAUGAUUAAGUCUAUUUUGCUCUUGCUCGAAUCAGGGGUUAAUCCUGGACUAUAUGCUCAGGAACUCAUGGAGACUUGUGAAAGGUUCGUAUCUGAUUGCAAAGGUAUACCAUUGACCGAACCGGAAGAAGUCCUUAUUAGAGCUGCUGCAAAAACAAAAGCACCUGGACUAUCUACUGUUUUGGUCGCUUAUUUUGAUGGUCAGGUAUGGACCUUUCCUGAAAAUGAUUAUUUCUGGGUCUACUAUAAAGAAAGUACCCAAAAGAGGAACUAAAGUGGAGAACCACGCAAAUCCUAAAUGGAUGUGCUAAAUUUCAGUAAUUGGAAAUAAUUUUCCAAUACUUUAAGCAAGUGCUGUUUUACUUUUAUACAUGCCCAGGGCUACAAAGGUUACAGAUUUACAGAUUUUUAUUUUGUGUUAUGUAUUAAAAAUGUCAUGCACUUUUCCUUUAGGUAUAUAUUUUUUAUUUUAUUUUAAGCCAACUUAUUCUAUCGUUCCUAAAAUAUUUCCAAAUGUAUAUGAAAGAUUUCAGUUUGUGGGCAUGCCUGUACUUCUCUUGAUAAGAAAUUGUUUUCUUUUCAUUGCAUUUUUAGGGUGGUUUUUUUCUCAACCAUGGUUUGGUUCUUGAAUACUUCCCGCAAGCUGUAAUGCUUGAAACACUUUAUUUUAGAGGCUGCAUAUUAUGCUUUAACAUUUUUAUUUUGCAGGCUCUCCAUGUGGCCAACAUUGGCAACUCGGGAUUUAUUGUAAUUAGAAAUGGUGCUGUCUUUAAAAGAUCAUCACCAAUGGUUCACGAGUUCAAUUUUCCAAUACAGAUUGAAAGAGGUGAUGAUCCCUCAAAACUUAUAGAGGUACGUUGUAUUAAAAUCAUUACAUGCCCAACCAACUUUCCAAAAUGUUAACUUCUGCUCAACGCAAGAACUAAUUUUGAACUUUUUACCUCCUUUGUCCUGAAAAGAUGGUGAUAAAAAUUUAUAGUUUACCAACUCUUCUUGCAACUUGAUUGUCUUACAUCUUGAGAGAGAUCAUGCUAACAAAAUAAUCUGUUCUCAGAGAUACCGAAUAGAUUUGGAUGAUGGAGAUGUGAUUGUCACUGCAACAGAUGGCCUCUUUGACAACUUGUAUGAGCAAGAGAUCAUCUCAAUUGUAUCGAAGUCUAUGCAAACCACAUUGAAACUUGAGGUGCAAAUAGUCUCAACUGCUUCUUAUCUAUUAUUUUAUAAGCUUCUUUGAAAAUGUAAAUGAAAGAAAAGAACUACCAUGCAUUUUCUUAAAGCCUUAAAGGGGCCAUGGACAUUGUAGAAAGGGCAUUUGGGGAAACCAUAUGGCUUGAUAGUGGUGGUGCCAGUUCUUUUGUUUUAAUGGCUUUCAUACUUAAUACUUCUGAUUUUAUCAGAAAGAUACAAUUGCAAUGCACUCCUUGUCUACCAAACAAUCCGGGCAAGUCAAACAGAGUACUCUUUAAAAUGAGAACAAGUAUAAUCUAUGUAAUUGCAAAAAUUAUAGAAUUGACGAUAACAACUCCAGCUUGAGCUAUAAAAACCAUGCAUGCUAGCAGAAUAGGUAUCCUUAUUGUAGCGGUUUUUGUGUGCAUUUUAUGUUGGUUGUUUACGUUAUGCAUCUCUUUCAGGAUAUAACAAAGUUCUUGGCAACUAGUGCACAAGAAGUGGGGCAAUCUACAUCUGGAAGGAGCCCAUUUGCAGAUGCAGCCGAGGCAUCUGGGUAUGUGGGAUAUAGUGGAGGCAAGCUUGAUGAUGUGACCGUUAUCCUGUCAUAUGUACAAAAGAAAUCCAGUGCCUUACAGUAAGUAUACAAUGUAUAUAUUUUUUUGUAUCAUUUGGUUCAAUUGAGGAGGAGUACGAGAAGGGAAAGAUAAAAAGAAAUUCCAGUUACUUGUAAUUUGGUUGAGUGUGAAGACCUACCCCGUCAAUUGUUAAUGAUGUUAGCAAAGUCUUCCUCAUGUAGCUGCUCCUUUUAGAACCUGUCUAGUUAGGCCGUAGAUUCAAAUUUUAUUUGGCAGCUGUAUUGUGUUGAAGGCACCAAGGAACUUGCCCAAGUAGGCCAUUAUUAAAUGAGCUAUGAUGUUUACAUAACUGUAGCUAUGAAUCUAUGAUGAUGUGUUCUCUUCUAUCGGAUUGCCAGGCUAAAGCAAUUGUCAGGUGAAAGUUCUGGUCUUAGAUUAUGCCAGUAGGUAGCUAAUAUGGAAGCUUUUGAAUUUCUAUUUGAAAUGAAAAUCUAAUGCAGAAUAUGAUUGUGGCUUGUUUGCAUAUAAAGUGGAGUUGGAAUGUAUUUUCAUGCAUUUGAUUAUUGAAAUUACACAAAUCUCAACCUUAUACGUAUUGAGGAAUGCCCACAUAGGUCCUAUACACUAUUGAAUUGCAAGUUUUCGGUUUCUUAAUUGUAGAUGAUAUGCUUUAUGCUUGUGUGCUCACGAAGAAGGGCCUCAGUUAGAUCAGUCUGUCUUUGUUUAGGCAUCAUGAACUGGUAAAUCUUCUGCAAUCUGGACUAACUAAAAGUAAAUGUGCCGGGUCAUUUUUAAGGAUAAUUGGCUCGAGAGUGCUGUUUGGCCUUUAGUUAGUAAGUGGUUCCCGCCCACUUGAACCCUAGUUCAAACCUCCUCGAGGACAUUAGAAUAGUUUAUAACAUCGUCAUUAUCAAGAACAAGAACAAUAAAGCUUGUGAGAGGAGUUUCGACUGGAACGGUCUGAGAUAUGGUUUGGCGGGAAGAGCGGAUGGUAUUAUUUAUGUCUAGUUUGAUACUAAUGCAUGGAAAGAAAGGGAAUGAAUUGGGUGGAGAACCUCAUCCAUUUUACCUUAAUUUUCAUCCCGAACACUCAGAUGUUACUAAGUGCAGACUGCAAAGUCAAUAGAUGAUGAAAGUAAAGCAGUUAAAAAGAAAUCUCACCUCCUUUGGUCAAGUAGUUUCAGCCAAGGUCGUUUGAAGAGUGCAUUGAAAGAAGGCAAUAAACUUACACAAAAAAUCCGAAACCGCUUUGAAAAGAAACUUAGACUAGAUUGACCUAAGUAAACAUGGCCUAUGAAUUGAAAAAGAACAAGAUAACAAAGGAUAAAUUUCAUUCUAUUCCCUAAUGACAUUAUUUUUAAAUUUUCUUUUACACAAGAAAUAUUUAAGAGGGGAAAAUUAAAUCUAGAACCUUAGAUGCAUAGAUAAAUAUAAAUUGAAUGUCCGAAUUAGAUUAACAUUGAACUUUUUCACAUGUGGUCUAAAUUUUCGGUUUCAAGGCCUUAUUUCCUUGUUUGAAAGCCCAUCUCAUAUUACAUGGUUUUACUUCCAUAUUGUAAAAAUUAAUAUGGUUGCAAAGCCAUGAUUGACCAUAUUGAAAAAAUUAUUGAAACUUAUUAUAGGAUGUGAUUAUUCAUGCAAUGCAGUCAUUCUAUCUACCUCGUACCAUACAUACUCUUAUCAUUAACUUUUAGUUUUGAACUGUCAAUGCCAUACUUAAUCGUGUUAUAGUUGUACUUGUAGCUAGCAAGAGAGAGACCAGAGAACAUUUCCCCUUUUAUUUUCUUUUUGGUAUUAUACAUAUCUUCUAUACGAGUUAACGAUGUUUGUGUACUAUUAAAGAUAGAGACGCGUAUCAAUAUUUUAAAUAAGGAACAAGGGAUUUAGGGACAUCAGAUCUCAACCCAAAGCUCUAACAAAAAUCUAGAGUCUCAAACUUUUAGGUUGUCUGUAAAAAUAUUUGAAUUUCUUCUCUCAUGUAUAUAGCUUUCUUUGGAUUGGACGUACAAAUCAAAGCAAAAGCACCUCUUGCUUGGCUGUUGUUUGACUUAAUAAUUGAAACUGGGUCCAAUAAAUCUCAUGAUCAAUCUCACAAUGAUACCGCAGCUCCAUGCCUGCCUGCCUAGCCUACCAGGCAAACAAGAUGAAAAAGGUAACCCCUAAUGAUUUAAUUGCAAGAUUCACGGCAGGUUGUUUCCUUUCUUCUUUUAUUAUGGCAAAGGCCUUUUCAUUUAAGAGCAAGAGCCCUAUCAUAUGCGUAAUGCAUGCCAUGCUGCUAGGAAAUGAUGUUGGGAUGUGGGUGGUGGUGGUGGGGUGGUGUGGUGGCCCUCCAAAUGCAUGCAUGCAUGCAAGCGAAGACUUUUCGAACUCCGAAGUCCCCACCUCCACAUGCGCAGCUCAUCUCUCUCAUCAGUCAAUUCUCUUCUAACUUGAAUUGAAGGUAAUAAUAAAGGAAAAUGCUAGGGAGACCAAUUUUAGAUACCAAUUUGUGUACCAACUCUCUAAUAGAGGUGGAGCCCACCAAUACAAUGGGUCCUACACUCUAUUAGAGAGUUGGUACACAAGUUGGUAUCUAAAGUUGGUCUCCCUAGCAUGACCCAAUAAUAAAUGAUGCAAUUGCCUUGCCUGGCCGCGAUUCAAACUCAAACUUUUGUACAUUUUCAACUAGGCUACCACACGCCCACUCAUGAAGUUAUGAGUCGGACCACGGAUGGUGAUUUUGAUUUCACAAUUCACAUGCCAUAAUUUUAAAUUCAGAAUUUGAUAUUCUAAAGUAUCUAUUGGUACAGUCGUAAAUUAAGUUAGUUGACUAGAACAAUGACUUAUGAAAAUUUUCCUAUUAAAAACAAACUACUUCGCAUGUUAUUAUUGGGUAUGAUUACUGAACAAAUCAAGAAGGGGUAUGUUUCUGGUGAAUUUGACAAUUAUAAUUUAUGACCUGGAUCUUCAUUAUCUUGAGUCUCGCUUAUUUUUAAUUUUUUAAAUAUGUUUACUAGAACGAGUAAUGCUAUUGGGAUACACUUGAUCAUAUUAGCUAAUCACUUUAUGUGACAGUUGAUGUGGUCAUGCCACAUCAAUUGAUGAAUCUAACAAGUAAGAGCAUCUCCAUGGGUGUAUGCAAAUGAGUAGGCAACCUUUUUUGUGUAGAUAAAAAUGCGAAUUUAUUAUAUCAAUAGGAAUAAAUAGUACAAAGGACACAAACUGUAAAGAGAGUCAUCUUAAUAACAAUAUGGUAGACAUGUGGAUAAAACUUCUCCCCAGUAACAUGAGUUAGCUAAAAGUCAUAACAAUCUGGAGAGAAUCACUUUCAAAAAUAAAUUUUCUAUAACCCCUUUCAACUGCCAUAAUUUCCCUGAAUCAUGACAUCAAAAACAAAAUAACUAUCUCUCUCUGCACGCGCGUGCGCAACGAGUAGGCAAACCUUUGUUGCUUGCCACAUAAGCACUAACAUUCAAGUAUGUAACAUUUACAUUUUCCCUCCAAUAAGCAAUGAUGCCUACUUCAAAAUCAAUAGGUAUAUUUGGUCCUAUCAACAUUUUAUUAUAAAAUAUAAUUUUCGUUUUCUCAUCUACUAUUUAUAAAAGAUAAAAUUAAAUAAUAUAAUAAUAAUUGAAACAAAUACAUUUUUUUAUACGAAAAUAAUUAUUUACAGCAAAAAAAGCCUUUGAACACGAAGGCAUAAGGUCAAAAUAGAAUAUAUAUAUAUAUAUAUAUAUAUAUAUAUAUAAAAGGGAAUGCUAGCAACUUUUUUUCUAACCUUCUCCUUUAGACCUUCUCCCUUUUUCUAAUGACAUGGGGCACUUCUCUCUCACUCAAAACAAUGUUUUUAAUUUUGAAAAAAUAUUAAAUUGUAUUUCCAUAUAUAUCCUUGACAGAAAACUAAAAAGUCAAAAAUCCUUUGAGUUUUCAUAGCCUGAUCUCAAUACACACCCCAACCUCUCUCUCUCUCUCUCUCUCUCUCAUUUGUGCUUUCUCUCUCUAACCUCUACAGACCCUUCGCUUCCCAAAUCAUGAAAGUUCAAACACCUUUUUUUUUUUAAUAAACGAAACCAAAUAAAAAUAGAAAAUAGUGCUUUGGUGGUGAGAUUUGAGAAAAAAAUUAGAACUCUAAUUCUGAGAUGUCGGAGAUUUCAACGCUCUUAAGUGGCACAAGUCGGUAUUGUGCCUGUGGGACAAAGAUAAUUCGUUGGACUUCGUGGACAUAUUUGAACCCAUGAAGAACGUUCGAUGCCUGUGAUAAAAAUUGAGUAAGUUAUUAUUGCAAAAGUUAUUCUUUUCCAUUUGUAAUUGCUUGAUGAGGUCUGAAAUUGGUUAAGAUUUGAUUUGCAGAAUAACAUAAGAGGUAUGCAUUUUUUCGAGUGUGUGGAUAAUGAAACUUGUCUAAGAGGAAAACAAGUUGACCCUGGUUUUCUUAGAAGACUUAGAGCAAUGAAGAUAAAAGGUAGAUCAGAUGAGGAAUAAUUGAGAUCUGUGGAAGCAUAAAAGAAAGAACUGCAAGAGAAAUUGAAAGAAAUAGUUCAGGAAAAAAGGUUUUGGAAUGGGGUAAUGGGCAAAGACAAUUGAUAAUGUGGGUUUCUUUGAUUUUUUUCGUGGGGUUUGUUUAUAACAACUGUGAUGAGUGUGAAGUUUUAAUUUUCAUGGGGUUUGUUUCUCUGAAAGUAAUGGUGAAGAGUUCUUUUUCAAUUGUAGAAUGAAUGUCCAUUACAUGUGUUCUCAAAUUUUCUUAAAUUAGGGUUAAUUUGAAUAUCUGGGAGAAGCACAUAACUUAAUAUUCCACUGAGCAUAAACAUAAAUAAUCAAAAGCCAUUCCAGUCUUGACCACAUAGACUAUUUACAAAAUGAACAUCCAUAUAAGCAUUCCAAUUAUAGAGUUUGAGCCCUUCAAACUCAAAACCAGUUAGACAAAGUACACAAAAUUCACCUGUCUAGAAAAGUAUAUAACCCAAAAUAGACAACCAGUUACACAGUUUGAGCCUUUCAAACUCAAAACCAGUUAGACAAAAUACACAAAAUCCUCAUGCCCAGAAAAAUACAUAACCCAAAAUGAGUUUAAGGAUUAUUACUAUUCCACCAUUUUGCGAGAUUUUAGUGUUGUUUUAAGAUGAUUAUGAACUCCUCUUAGUCCUUUUCGCUAAACCUCUUGCUAGGUUUUCUUUCUCCUUCAGUCAUGUUUUCUUUCCCAGUAACUUUGAGGAGUCUUUGUUCUUUGUAUGUACUUGAUGAGGAGGAUUGCUUAUCCUUCUCUUUAUCAAUACAAUGUUUCCUUAAAAAAAAAAAAAAUUCAUUUUGUGAAGACAACUCUUUUUUCAUGUUGGUAAUUGUUGAAUGUUUUGGUUCAAUGAUUGAAGUGUGAAUUUUUGGUUCAAAGGUUUAACAGUUUAGGAGUGUUAUAUUGUUUAUGUGAGAAUAUAUAUUGUGGGCCCUGUUUAUAGGUCGUGGGUCCGGUUUACAGUUGUGCCUCGAAAUUCAAUGGUCAUAUACUCAUUCCUAACACCACUUGUAUAUUUAAAGUGCUUAUUUAAAACCUUAGGUUGAAAUCCGCAAUUGAAAUCCAUAGCUUAAAUUUGUUUCGCCAAACAAGUGGAUUUCAAAUGCAUGGAUUUGAAAUCCAAAUCCAAAUCCAAAUCUAAAUCCAUGAUCUCAAACGGAGCCUUGGAUACUAUGUUGCACUGAUACUCCGCUAGACAUGAGUAUGCAAGUAUCGGGCAAGUAUCUGAUACGAUACGUGCCUAAUACGCCCCCGAUACAUAUCAUGUACGCGAAAUGAAGUAUCGUGGACUUUUGAGCUAAGUUGACUUUCUGAUACGUCUCCAAUACACGAAGGACGCGUAAGAUACAGUCUCCAUACGGGGAUUAUUUUACAAAUAUUUGAAAACUUUUGUGGUCGUUUUUGAAAAAAAAAAAGAAAAAAAAGAAAAAAGAAAUGUAGGGUGAAAAGGUGAAUUGUGAAACCCGAUAUUGCAAAACACAAGUCGACAUAGCUGGGUUUUAGUUUGUUUGAGCGGCUGCGUCACUCUCUGCUUUGCUCAGAUCCAUUCCAACGAAAGGGAAAGAAAAAGAAGAACUGAAGGAGGAAGAAGGAGGAAGGAGGCGACUCGACCCAACCAGUGGCAACAACGGAUUUUCUUUGGUUUGUAUCUUGCUGCUGUAGAAUUGCAUCUUCUCUUCUUCUUUUCUUUGAUUUGUUGAUUCUUCUUUGGUUUGCAUCUUGCUGUUGUAGAAUUGCAUCUUCUUUCCUUUUCUUCUUUUCUUUCGGUUCAGUUUACUAUCUUUGCCUGUCACCUUUCGGUUCAGUUAUUAAUUAAUUGUAUCCCCAACAUUGAUGUCUUGUUGCUGUGUUAAUUAAUUAAUUGUAUGAUUCUUGAGAUGUAUUAAUUCAUAGUUGUUUUCAAAAUGAUUUUUUGGGGGAUGAGGGCAAUAGUUCUGGUGGUGGGAAUACUACUAAUAACAAUAAUGCUACUUUUCCGUUGUGGAAAUAGUUCACCAAAAGUGUGAGAGAUGGAAAAGCCGGUGGCAAUACUGCAUUUCAAUGCAAUUAUUGUCGAAGGACUUUCAAAGGAUCAUACUCUAGAGUUAAGGCUCAUUUGUUGAAAAUUAAAGGGUAUGGAAUUGCUUGUUGCUCUAAAGUUACAAAUGCUCUUUUAAGGGAAAUGGAGAGAGUAGUAGAAGAAGCGGAGUUGAGAAUUUAUAUUAUUUUAAUUGCCGUAUCGGCCCAUACCCGUAUCCUAGUGUUUGGAGAUUUGCCGUAUGGGCAUACCCGUACCGGUACCGGUGCAACAUAGCUUAGAUGUUUUUAUGCAUCAGAAAAUCGAGUGCAUGUGUGUGUAUUUUUUUUUCAUCUUUCUUGUUUCCUUAUUUUAAUAAAUUGGUAGGUGUAGUAAGUUAAAUUAAAUACCUAAAUCUCCGAGGAGACUUCAAUUUUUAAUGAAUUUUCUCUGACAACAUUUUCUGCACAGUUGGGCAGAGCAUAAAAGAAGCUUGUCGAUUUGGUUGAAAGUAAAAGCUACUGAUCAGGAAUGGCUGCGGGUUUAGCUUCAAAGUGUUCACGCGGUAUGUGAUUUUGCAUAGGGGUUUUCAAGUAAUCUAUUUGUACUAUUUGUGUCGCUUGCUCUAUUAGUAGAUUCUAUUUUCAUUGAAUUAGUGUUAAGAAAAGCUGUAGAAACUUUCACUUUUCCUGGAUCAGUAGUUUGUCUGGUGUUGACUGCUUGCUCCCUGCUGGAUAACUAAUGUAAAAUAGUUGAGUAGAUCUAAAAAGAUGCCACAAAUUUGUUCUUUCAUCAUUUUUCUGGUUCUCUUGAGUUUCAUAUUUUAAUUGUGCCAGUUUCCUGGAUUAAAUAUAAGCUCUUUUAGUAUCUGUUAUGCAAUUAUUCUCUUACCCAUUUACUUACUGCAAUCUUUUCAAUCUUCUGGAAACAAACCUAGUGGGUCGCUCAUUGUUGGGGGGGCUUGGCAACAAUUCGUCUGGCUUAUUGAGCACAUCACAUGAGAUGACAUGCAGCACUUUCUUGUCUCAGGUCAGUGUGUGUUGAAGUUAAUACUUAAUGGUAGUGUUUUAUGUUUUGAAUAUAUUUUUGGAUUAUUAGCAGCCAUGAUGGUUGUUGGCUAAAGCAAAGCUGUAGCCUCUCCUUUGAUUUGUAAGUACCUUGUGUGACACACUAGAGCAAGGAAAAAGUUAUCCUACCACUCUAUUGAAGUGGUUGGUGAGAGAGACGUGCGGUAGUGUGUAGUGUUAGAGAACAGGAGUCUAUAAAACUCUUAAGUGCAAAAUGUGUAAAAUGAGAAGUUUGGAGAGAGUAAAAGAUUCCUCAUAUUGAAGAGAAAUAGAACUCAAAGAUUAUUUGCUUUGUGCCUUUUCAUUUGAGUGCUAGGCUUAAUCCAAAUUCCAACAGUGUGUUCAUCUAAUAUUUCUUGGAAGAUUACAACUGUGAUUAGGAAAUAUAUUCAUUGAAUUUUUAGUAGGAUGGUUUGGAUUGAAGUGAAGGUCUAAUCUUAUGAUUAGAAUAAAAAACCCUGUUCGGUUUUCAUACAAAAUGUUUUUGCUGGAUGUUUAAAAUCUUGAAUAUUUUUGGUUCUAGAGAAUUGAGAGUUUCUUGUAGCCUUGCAGUGAUACCCUUUAUAGCAUUGUUUAGAAGAGUCGACAAAAAAGCUUGUUUUGACAGGCUUAAAUGGAGAAUCUUGGUGCUAUUUCUGAGUGCAAUGGAUGAGCUGUGGCACUGUUAAUUAAUUCCAAGUUGUUCUUUCUAUUUCUCUUGUUUAUCUUCUUUUUGGCUAAAUACCUCAAAUAGUAAACUGUUUAUUACUUUGUAUUGACAUGAGCUUGAUUUGUUGUUUUUGUCCACUUUUACAGCAGCAAAGGACCUUCAUACAGAUGAGGACUAUUCUCAAAGUGGUGGACAACUCAGGGGCGAAAAAGGUGAUGUGCAUACAAGCUUUGAAGGCAAACAAGAAAGGGGCAAGAUUGGGAGACACAAUUGUUGCAUCAGUAAAGGAGGCACAUCCCAAUGGGAAAGUGAAGAAAGGACAGGUUGUGUAUGGCGUGGUUGUUCGUGCUGCCAUGCAACGAGGUCGUUGUGAUGGGAGUGAGGUCAAGUUUGAUGACAAUGCUGUGGUGCUUGUUGACAAGCAAGGGCGGCAGCCGAUUGGGACUAGAGUAUUUGGACCCGUCCCGCAUGAGUUGAGGAAGAAGAAGCAUGUCAAGAUUCUUAGUUUGGCGGAGCAGAUUGCCUGAAGUGUCAAGCACACGACAAAAUACAGAUGCACAAUAAGAACAGAACGCUUAUGUGAAGUGAUGAGGUGUUAAAAUUUUAGAAUAUUCAAGUGAUCGGAAUAAAGUUUGGUACUACGAUUAGAUUUCAAUAUUUUUGAAUAUUGGGCAUAUUGGCCAAAGAUUGAGUAAUUACAUCUUCCAUGCCCUAUUUCAAAAAUAGAAGAAAAAUGAUCUGUUUAUUGUAUCGUUUUCAUUCCGAGUGAGAUUGAACCAAGCGCAUAAAGGUGGUUUUUUAUACCAUUCUUUUGCUCAAUUUUGUAAGUUGGGUCUCUUCCUUGCAAGAAUGUAGAUGACUUGUUAAAAAUCAAAGCUUUUGAAAAAGCACUUAUAAUUUUUCUGCUAAAUUCUGUUAUAAGCAUUUUUGGUUGUCAUAAAAUGUUUUUAGCCCUCCCAAAGCAACUUCUAAACAGGCCACUGGUUGAUCUUGACAGCUGAAGUAACUUUAGGGGAGAAAUAAAGGGUCGACUUACGAACAUUUAUUUUCUCCCCUGAAGCCCUGCCGAAAUACUCUAAAGUUUUUAUGAUAUUCCUAGCAUCAGUAGUUGAGGCUUUAGCAAAAAUGAGACGAUCAUCAGCAAAAACUAGAUUCGAAACUCUAUAAUAAAAAAAACUAGUUACAUUGUCUAAUUUAUUAGAGUGAUCGGCUCUUUUUCAUGGGACAAAUGCGUAAGCAACAUACCAUUUGAGUUGUUAGAGUCCAUAUUUGCCGACUACAUUUGCAAUUGCGUACUCCCUUGUGGUGAGCCACACAAGUGACUCUUCCAGAACAAUCCAAGAGCUCACUUACCCACCCAGCUACAGCCGAGACAACUAAAUGCAAUUUGCUGCUGCUUUCACACAUGAGCCUUGUCCACGUGGAAUGAGUGUUCACACCAAAAGUGAAAAGAAAAAAAUAGAAAAAGAGAAAAGAAACGCGGAAUGAGUGAAGCAAAUCCUAAACGUAACAAUUUUGUCAUCCCAAAUGUGCAAUAUUUAUAUUUUUGAAAUUAAAGAAAAUAUUUUAUACUUUUGUGUCUUUUUUUUUGUGCUUUUUUUUAUUUAUGAAAAAUCGUUCUAGUAUUGGAGGAAUAAGUUGAAAAGAAACGACCUUUACAUGAUUGAAUCAAAUGACGAUUCGUUUACAAUAAUCCAAUCAAUUGCAUACUUUUUUUCCUCUUUUUGUAGAACAAAGCACUUUUUUAUUUUAUUUUAAAGGUGAAUACAUUAAGGUUAAUUUACUUAAAUGUAUCAUUAGAUCCCUGUGUUUAAUUAUAAAUGCGGUUGGUAAAAGUUUAGAUGUAGGGCACUCAUUCUGGACCUGAUAAUUAUCAAUAUUUGAAAAUUUAUAUUUCUCUUCUUUCUUUUUUUUUCCUUCCAGAAGAUUUACUUCGGAUUUGAACUCCCUUUGUAGCCCAACAAAGCCAUGGAAAAGAGAAAGAGCGUGUGGAGUGGCAUGAAACAAAGAGAUAUAGCACGCGAUGCGAGACACGUACACAACCCCACUUCAUUGCACCGACUAACCCAUUCUGCCCCAACUGCCAUCUAUUUUUUAAGUGAUAGUCUAAAUUAGUCUAAAUUAAUCUAAUUUAUUAGAGUAAGAAUUCAAAUUUGAGUGCAUAAGGGUAGGUAGGAUCACUGCCUUAACUAACCAGCCUAACUCACGUAUACUAUUUUUGUCUUCUUCAUACAAAUGAUAUGUUUUUGUCUUUUUAUAUACAAAUGAUAUUAGAGGAUGAAAAAAUUAAGUUUAACCACUUGAACUACAAACCAUUCUUAAUUGCCGCUUGAUAAUUUACUUCUGAAUAUAAAUAAUAAUCAAAACUAAAGCAAAUAAAAAUUUACACACACACAUGAAUGAUGUCAUAAAAAUUCGAACAAAACCCUCUUUUCUAGAAGUCAAUUUUCUUUCACUCGCCUUGACCCAGUUGGCAUACUUUCCUCUGAUGAGAGAGAAAGCCUCAUUUCUUUUGAAAGUGCCAUCAUUCUUUCCCACUUCGCUACUUAAAUCACUCCUCCCCUCCCCUUAUAUAAAACACAAUAAUACCUCCUCCACAUCCCAUCCCAUCCCAACCCACCACAAAUCCCACAUUCUAAUUUUUCUCUCUCUCUCUCUCUCUCUCCUCUUGAGUCUUGCAAAAAGAAAAAAAAAGAAAAGAAAAGGAAAGAAAGUAAAAGGAAAAUGGGAGCAAUGAGGGUUUGGAGUGUGCUUGUGGUGAUGGCGGUGGCCAUGGCGACGUUUGGGGAGUGUGGGUCGUCGCACCACGCGGCUCCGGCGCCGGCGGUGGACUGCUCGAGCCUGAUCUUGAACAUGGCGGACUGCUUGUCCUUUGUGUCUAAUGGGAGCACCGAUACAAAGCCCGCAGGGACUUGCUGCAGCGGCCUCAAGACCGUCCUCAAAGCUGACGCUGCCUGCCUCUGCGAGGCCUUCAAGAGCAGCGCUCAACUCGGCGUCGUUUUGAACAUUACCAAGGCCGCCUCCCUCCCCGCUGCCUGCAAAGUCUCUGCUCCUUCUGCCACCAACUGUGGAUGUCAGUUCUCUUCUGGAUUUUCCCCAUUUUCCAUUUUUUUUUCUUCUGUUUUAAACCAGUUUUAUGAGAUUUAAUGGCUAAUAUUUAAUUUUAUUUGUUUGUUUUUUUUUGUUGGUUUUGUCGUUUUUCAGUAUCUAUCACUCCUGUAGCUGCUCCUGGUAUGUUCUUAUUCUUAUCUUAAUAUAGCUUUCAGAUUGAUCUGCUUUUUCUUUAUUUUUUAUUUUUUUUUGUAUAAUUAAUUCCAGACUAAAGUAUUGGGUUUAAUUAUAUUAUAUAUCUAUUCUUCCGGGAUUUCUCUGAUCUAUACACGGCUGUGCUCUGUGGGGAAGAAAAACAUGUCUUAAAAUUGUGUGUAAGAAAAGAAAAUGAGGGAAAGAAUCUUUAAAUUGAUCAAUUCAUUUGCGGAGGGGGUUUAGUAUAAACUUGAUCUUCAAUGUUACUAUGAACUUCAAGUUGAAUACAGAAAAUAUAUUGAGUUUGGAUUUCAAUGUUACUUUCUCUAUUUUGUUAGACAGAAACUUGUGAUGUGCCAAAUGAGUUAUUUCCAUUUAUUUGCUUCUCACACUCAAACUGGCAUUGUCAAUGUUUAAAUGUCUGUUUUUGGAUUUUCGGCUUGCAAGAUGAAUCGAACUAAAUAUGUUUUGUUUGUCAUGACUGUCAUUGUUCUUAUUCUCUGGUUUCCUCAUUUCGUUGAAUCUGAUUCUAGACACCAUUGUACAUCACUCCGACACUAUUCCCUACACCGCCGGUCUAACUUGGGAUUAACUGAUAAGGUUUUCUGUCUGGUGUUGCAGGUCUCUCGCCGGGAUCUUCUCCAACAUCAUCUGUUGCUGCUACACCUGAAUCGUCAGUUGGAGGGAGCGAGCAGGCACCUGCUUCUCCGCCAGGGGCCUCGGGUUCUCUUAUGCUUGCCAGUUCAGUUGGAUCCCUGCUUGUUGGUCUUGUAGUUGCAUCAUUCCCUUGUUUCUGAGAGCUGUGUGGUGCCAUUUUUGAGAGCUGAGAGGGAUGAUAUAAGUAAGAGAGUUGUGAUGUUCAUUUUACCAUUGGGGAGUUCUCACUUUAGUUGUUUUUGAGGUGUGACUGAAGCUAGAUUCGACAUAUAUUUUGGGGUCACUUGAAAUCUGUAUUGAUGGUUUGGUUGGACAUCUUUUUCCUAAUUUAUUAGUCUAUUUCUUCGCAUAUUUUUGUGCUCCAUUUUGAUUUGAAGUUUGAACUUAAAAAGAAUUCUUGUGCUGUGAGCAAUGAGCAUGUUGCAAUUUGUAAACCACGCGACACAUUGUGCAAUGCAUUCGAUGGUAUAUCUGUUUCAUCCUGAACGCUGCGUAGAAGAGCUGAAAAAACAGACAUUUUUGUGGCACCCUUCUUUUGAAGUGAUUUUAUUGUACUAUGGUAGUAUGGUUAUGUGGUAUUAAAACCAAUCAGUCCCAAAAUUGGAGCGUUCCAAGAGCUAUUGAAUUAACACAGAAAUUCAAAGAUCGACCAUGAAAUCAAAUUGACUUUCUUCCUUCAAUUAAAAAUGAAAAAUUCAUUUUGUUAUCCGUUAUAAUCUUCACCAAAAAAAUAAGGUAAUAAAUCAAUUAUUUGCCUUUAAAAUGGAAUAAUUCAAUUUGGGCCUGGUGUUUCUUUUGAACCAAAGGAGGAAAUUGAGCCGCAGAACAGAACAUUUACACACCCAAUAAGUACGUCAAAGGAUGGCCACGAGUUUUUGGAGGAAAUUGGGCCAGGAGUUUUGUAUAGAUUUAAAAUAGUUUCGGCUACCUUUCAAACUGAAAAACAAAACAAGAGUCAUUUCCAUAAUUUUUUUUUUAAUGUUGCUAUAUAUUUUUUAUUAUUCUUUAAAUGAUUUUUCAAUGUCUUUCUCAAAUCAAGAGGUCUCGUGCCGGAGACAUUCACAAAUGUAACAAGUCUAUUGGCUAGAUGAGUCCUAGUUCGAAGGGUAAUUGAAAAAGAAAAGCCAUGAAAAUUAGUACAUAAAAGAAUAGAUAUUAUCAACAAGUCGUCUUAGAAAUCUAUCCACAAAAAAAACCACAAGCACCAUUCCAAACGUGUCCCCCUCACUACAAACAUUAUUAUUUGUUUGGGAUAUGAGAAUCCAAGCAUCGUGCCUAUAAAGGAGCGGCAUAUUUCUUUCGGCCGAGCUCUAAUUUCUUUUGGUCAAACGCGCUAUUGACUUUUUUUUACCAAAAGAAAAAAGUUGGAAGAAAAAAAAACCAACGGCAAGAAGACAGUUUAUGAUUCAACGCUCACCAAUCAGGAGCAUAGCUCGAUGGUUAUUAGGGGAGAAAACGCGUUUUGUUUGGGAGUUACCGCUAAUUCGGUAUCCGUACUGCAUAUUCAACCGCUUUCUUUUUCCGAGUAUUUUAUUUUUUUUUUUUUUAUUUUGCUCCUCGUGCUCUUAUCUCUAUAAGUUCAAAAAUAGGGGAUAAUAUUAUUUCUCGUGCUCUUUUUUACUGAAUUAAAUUUGUUGGCUAGUAUCACAUUGUUUUGACAUGACAUUUAUAUAAGGUUAAUAUUAUGUCGAUAUUGUCAAUAUUGUUCACAUGUUAUGGUAAUAAUGCUAUUUUGAAGCGAACGUGAGUUAGGUCAGUUAAUCAGGGUAGUGCACCCAAUGCCUUCGCUAAAAUUCGAGUCCCUUUCCACAUAAUAAAUUAGUAAUUCAGACUAUCACUUGUAUAUAAAAUAAAAUAAAAUAAUGCUAUUUGACAAUAAUAAUAGUGUAUUAGUGUUCCCAAGUAAAAAUGUUUAAACUAUGAUAUUAUAAAUUAGUAUACAACGUAUAUGCUCCCACUAUAUAUUAAGCUUAACCCACCUUACUCUCUCCCAUGCAUUCCCAAAAUCCAUUGCUAGAAUCAUAACCUGGAUUCAACGCCAUGAACUUUUCGCUGACUUCAAGCCUAAACAGUGUAGCUCUACCUAAACCUUUUCUUUCUCACAGCCAUAGACACGACCACCACCAUGAACGCAAACCCACUAUUAAGCUGUCUUUAAUUACAUGCAGAUCAGCCACUAAUUACGAGUCAUCAUUUACUUAUAAGGUGAAGGAUGGAGAAAAUGAGAGCACCAAUUUCUACAAGCUGCUUAGUCUAAAUCCCAAUAUUAAUACAAGCAAAGAUGAGAUAAAGAAAGCUUAUAGAAGCAUGGCUCUUCGAUAUCAUCCAGACGUUUGCCAUGAUCCUUCCAUUUCUUCCACCAAGGAAUUUGUUCGACUGAAUCAGGCUUACAAGACGCUAUCGGAUCCGGUGUUGCGCGAAGAAUACGAUUACGAAUUGGGUUUGAAAAUUUGUGUUGGUACUACUAGGGUUGGUUUCAAGAUGGAUAAUAUAAGAAACCAUGGCGUUGGUGCAGCACAAAAUAGAUGGCGACAACAAGUUCUUGAGUUGAAGAGGAAGUCCAACUGCCGUAUGGCACAGAAGGAAGGGUCGUGGGCAAGCAGAAUGAGGAGGGCUCAUAAUAUUUCUACCAUGGACUAGCUUUGCUUUUGCACGAGAUAUGAUUUUAGCACUCCAAAAAUUACUUCUCACCCUUCUCGAAGCUCACAAACACGAGAAGUGUAAGGGGAUUUAAGGGUUGUUUUUGGAGUGCCAAAAUCAUUCUUGCUUCUAUAGAAUUCAUUGAGCUUCUCUGAUUGUUUUUUAUUUGAUGUAAACGGGUGACCCCUUUUGUAUGUUUUGUCUUUAUUAAAAUCUCAUUUAAUUAAUUGAUUCUGUAACAUUUUUCUGCUGAUUAUGUACUUGUUUUAUUCUUUAUCAAAAUUUCAUUUCAUAAAUUGAUUCUGUAAAAGUAGAAAAACACAAGUCAUAAACAGGUAAUGCAAGUCUUGGAUCAAAACUCUGAAUCACUCUCUCCGCAACUAAUUUUCAUACAUAAUAUUUCAAGAAAUAUUAUGUGACGUUGGAGGUUCCUUGGCAAGCACCACAACGGUUGUGGAACUAUAAAUUCUAAUAUGAGUCUAAAGAUCCAUGGACAUGUUUAAGAUUUAAUUAAGCUCUAAUAUGGUCUCUUGCUUCCGUUGCUUUCUUUGCAAUUUUUUUUAUUGUUAGUGGCUUAAUGAACCUUGUAAACUCAGAUAUCCUUCAUCCAGUUUUAGCAAUGUGGAGUGGAGAUUUCUCUCAUAUCAACACAACUUCACGAUGGAGAUCAUGGCUAAAGUCUAUCUUAUAUACACAACCACACAUAUGAAAGGAGAAAACCUAUGGUCGAAAAUGGUGGUGUUGGGUCUUCCUUUGGGCUCAUUUGAGUUGUUGUCAUACAACACUCAAUCCUUUGGCCCAAUAGGUAUCUAGGCUUUAUCAUUUUUAGCUAAUUGUACUUCAAAGUCAAAUUAGAGUUCACCGUCAAAUUAAUUUCACGAUUAACAAUUUAAUCAUGAUUCAUGACUUAGAACGUUUUGGAUCCGUAUCAAUGGCCAAUUUCCGUUAGAUCUUAUAAGAGAAGGUUCUAUGGGAACAAAAAGGUGUAUUACGAGCACACAUAAGAUAAACAAGCUACUCGUGAGUUUUGCAAGCCGAACAUACUAAACCUCAAGCUUAGCUUGUUUUGUUUAUAUUACAAUUGAGCCAUGCUCAGACAAGCCAAAUUCGAGCCAAGCCCUAUACAAGCUCGAGCUUUAUGGAGUCACUUGACAACCUUACUUAAGACACAAUUUCUUUCACAAUUUGGCAGGAGGAAAGAGUUUAAUCACUGCAUGCUUAUCUUUCUUGAUAAAUUAAUCUAGCAUGCCUUACUUAUAGGUUGAACCCUUUACAGUCUACCCUCUUUCUCGAUAUCCAAAUUCUAGCAGUCGUUAGCAGAAGUAGAGAUAGGGGGAGGUAGGAAUGGACCUUCAACCCUAGGCAGAAAGAAAAAAACUGCUAGGCAGAAAAGGAGAGGGGAAGAACAAAAAGAAAUAUCACAAGUAUAUCAACAUUGUAGUCGUUUGUUGGAGAACCUUCAACCCUGGCUUGUGGAUCGAAUUAAUCAAGGUUCUUCGUGAUGGGGAGCAAAUGUAAGGAUUGCAUCUGCAACUGAAAGAAAAAUCUUGCCCUUUCCAAUCAAUUCAACAAAUUCCGAUGCAUGGAUCUUGUCCAUCACCACUGUCCCCGGAUUUGCUAAAGCAAGCUGUAAAAUAACCAAAAUUAAAUUUGCAAUAUCAACUCAUAAUUUCUUUUGUGGAAUUUAUUUCUUUCCUAGUAUUCCAAGGCUAGGCAUGUUUGGUGACUGAACUCGGAUUGGAUUGGAUCAUAUUGAAUUGAAGAGGAUAAUACUAAUUCAAUGAUGUGUUUGGCGCGCACCACUUAAUUAAGGAACCGAAUUAAUUGAAGUAUAUCCUAGUAGGAAUAUACAUAAUCCCACUCAACUUUCCACCUCUUUGGUGGGAUUGAUAAUCCUAGUACAGUUGGGUGUAGCAGAAUUAGACAUAAUCUAAUCCAGGUUGUUUUUAGGCCACCAAGGACCUCACUAGAAUUAUUGUAAAUUCUAUGCACUCAUAUAAUCCAGCGCAACAAACGAACCUUAAUUUAGCAAUAUUGUCGAAUCAGUUAAUUUUCAGCUAGCAUGCCUAACUUCAUACCGAAGCCACUUCUAAAUUGCAAUAAAUUGUAAGAAAUGGAUUUACCUCAAUCUCUCUCUUCUGAAGACUUCUGUAUAACUCUUCCAAGGCAUGAAUGCCACUAGUGUCGAUGUCAGUGACAGCUGAGAAAGAUGAAAAGCAAUGAAUUAAUAAUAAACCAAAAAUGGAGCUUAAUAUUGUAAGCUUGAGUUGUGGAAAAAAUUAGAAUUCACAUACGCGACAUUUCAACAAUAAGGUGCUCGAUUUUGGGUAGACUAUUUUGCUUUAGUUCUUCUUCUUCGUCUGUGACCCAUCUCAAUAUUCUGCAACAAAUUAGUUAGUUAGUGUCAAUUAGUACUAUUGUUAGACGUAUAUUGCUAAACUAUAUGAAUCUGGAUUAAGAUUUAGGCGAGAACUAAUAUGAUCAACGAUCCAGAUUCAUAGUCUGCCAACACAAAUACGCGGCAAAUUAAUCUAUGCAUCCGUACCAUACAUACCUCUCUUUGAUAUAGUUGGAGUUGGAGAAAUAAAUUGCAGAGUCAACUCUAAUAAUGAGAAUGCCAGGAAUUUGUGUGGCAUUGGGAUACUGUAGAAUGUUUCUGUAAACAUUAGUCCUUGGGAGCUUUCCAAGCAGCGCGGUCCGUGGCCUUGUGACUUGCAAGAGAAUUUUGGCAAAGGAAAUGGAGACAGCGAUCAAAAGACCGAUCUCCACGGAAAUGAAAACGACUCCGAAGAAGGCUCCCAUGCAAGCGACAAAGUCAAGUUUGUCGAUCUUCCAGAUGAGCUUCAUGGCCUCGAAAUCAAUCAAGCCAAUCACUGCGGAAAUGAUGAUGGAAGCCAGAAUGGCGUUGGGCGUGUACUUGAAGAGGGGCGUAAUGAGUUCCAGAGUGAGAAGGACCACCAGAGACAUGAUGAUGUUUGAGACCGCAGUGUGGCAGCCGGCCAUGUAAUUGACGGCAGAGCGGGAGAAGGAGCCGGUGGCAACGUAGCAGGAUGUCAAGGAACCAAUAAUGUUCAUGGUUCCCAAUGCCACCAUUUCUUUGUUUCCAUCCAGCUGAUAGUCCUUCAUCCCGGCAAAUGUUCUUCCAAUUGCAAUAGCUUCCUGCAAAGUUGUUCAACGGACACAUGUUCACUAUAAUUACUUGUUGCAUCAAAGUUAAUUUGAUCGGUGCAAGCUUACCGUCAAGGCUAUCAUGCCCGCCACAACACCAAUCCUGAAGCCUUUGAUAACGUUGUCUCCAGUGAAAUAAAUUAAAUCAGCAGAAGCUGGGUUUAUGCCCUUCCUUAUUUUACUCACCUGAAAUAACAGAAGGAUUAAUAUAUGUUUAUGUGACAACUGAGAAAACUUAAAUAUACAUUAAAAACAGGAAAAGCUACUCACAAUUGCAACACCUUCCUUGUCUGCACGGGUGAUAUAAACAAAAAAGGUGGAGACAAUAACGGAGAUCAAAGGUGCAAUUGCAGGCACCCAAAACAAUUUCGUCUUCUUUUUACCCUGCAUCAGCAGCAGCAUCAGUAUUCGCAUGCUUGAAUAAAUUAAUUAAUCCAUGAUUAAUUAGUGAAUAUAUACUUUUUUUUAUAAAAAAAUAGACUUACGAUGUACUUGGUCAACAGAAGAAAAGCCAAGAAUGAGACUCCAAUUAGUAUAGUCUGCCAGUUCCACUGUAAGAUUAAAACAGAGCGGCAAAAUUAAUAUGAUGUUCAUCAAAUAAAUAAAUAAUCAUUGACAUGGGAAUUAAAUUAUGAGUACCCCAUGAUGUGCAGCGGUAAUUACUGAACGCAUGACAGAAACAAUAUCAGUCUUCUUGGUAAAAUUCUUGAUGCCGAGUAAUCCUUUAAGCUGUUGAAGGGCAAUGGUAAUGGCAGCUCCACCCAUAAACCCAACAAUGGAAGCAUGAGACAGAAAAUCAAUCAAGAAGCCCAACCUGGAAAAUGCCAUAGAUAAAUAAAUAAAUAAAAUUUUAAUUUUUAUAUCCUACAUGUAUAUAAAAUCACUGUGAUAUAUAUCAGUUCAUAUAUACCUGCAAAAUCCUAAAGUGAGUUGUGUGACUCCCGCAAAGAAUGUAGCAGUUAAAGUAAGCCGUAGAUAGUCAUGGGCAUUCUUAGUAGGAUCAACCUCAUUCUGCACCAUAGUCCCAAGCAACAGAGACACCACGGCCACUGGCCCGAUCGCAAUGUCCCUCGAGCUGCCCAUGAACGCGUAAACAAGAGGCGGCACGAAACUACUGUCUGCGUGACACAUGACAGGCGUAUUAUUUUGUAUCAAUAAAUAAUCACAUCGGAAAUUUAAAGCCUUGCAUAACUAGUACAUAGCUACUGUCUGUGGGUCAGAUGCUCUAAAUCUAUCAAAUAUAACUAACAUAAUAAAGAAAAUUGAACAGGGAAAGGAUUAGAAGCACUCACAUAAGCCAUUCUGACCAGGCAGAUAGGCAAGCUUUGCAUAUCCAAGAUCCUGAGGAAUGCAGAGGCUUGCAAUGGUAAGUCCAGCGAUGAGGUCUCCUCUGAACUUAGUAAGGUUGUAGUCCCUGGCCCACCGAAGUAUGGGGAAAAGGGCUUCAAGGCCAAGCAGAAUCUUCCUCCUCUUUGUUUGGUCUUUGAAAGGACGCAAGGGCUCAUCUGAAAAGAAAGUUUCUUUCACGGUCGCACGGAAUUCCUUGAACAGGUUUUGCUUUGCCGGCACUCCAACUUUAUGAACCUGAUGCUGAUGAGGAUAUGGCUGCUCCUGCUGCAAUGUCGGAUUAACUUGCCGAUUCGACGAAGGUCCGCUUCUGAUGUCAGCCUCCUUUCCCACCUCAUCGUCGUCGCUGAUUCGCUUACUCAUUGUGCUCCACUUCUACAACAAAGCUCCCCUGUUACAGUUCAAACACAAAUUUAGAGCAUAGAAAUGUCAAUGCACAUAACGAUAAGAUUCAUUAAGUCAAGUCGUGCAAGCCAGAACGUAUAUGUUUCUAACAAACUGAUUAUGUUGUCAGACUGUAAAUCUGUACCGUACGUUCUAGCAUAGGAGGCAGAUAGUAUGAAAAAGAAAGCAGUUAUCUGCUGAUAAAGAUAGAUAGUUACCAGGCAAAAUCAAACAGGAACUCUCAGAUUUUCUUGCUUUAGAAAGUGAUUAUAUUUAGCUAUGGAAAGCUCUUGCAUGCUCAUAUUUAUAGAGCUUUGAAAAGGAAUGCAAGUCAAAUCCAAAGAGCUGAAAGGAGUAUCAAGAUAUGAUAUUCAAGCAUGAUAUUAUAGUUUACAAGUAACCCCAAUGGCCGAGUAUUCUCAAGUCGACAUUAAACAAAACAAAAACGAAAAAAAAAAUACAAAGCAAACUUGGAAUUUUUUUAUAACCAUUGACUUAACAUAUAUACACUAACAGGUUGCGCUGUUAAUCCGAUAGUUGGCAUAGACUAUACCCGCAUCCAAUCAUCCAGCUAUGUUGACUUUGAGAUCCCAUUACUGAGUUGAUCCUCUGCAUCAACCAUACAAAGUGGCCUUUUUGCUAGCUAAAGCCUAAAAGUCUAUGAUUUGCACUUUCACUUAUGAAUUGAAAAGUCUAAACCAAUCUGGUUUGCCCACCUGAAAGUAUACCUUCCCUGUUUUUAGUCUUCUUUUCUUAUUAUCUUUAACAGGAGAAAGAGAAAUGAUUUCGCACAAUAGGUUGAAAAGUCUGAUGGAGAUCAUUUGAGGGGUUUCCAAGCAAGCCAUUGAACUCAGAAAAAGCAAAUAGAAAAAAGCUAGCCAAUGAAAUCACAAAAACAAAUCCAAAAAAGAAACAAAGAAAACCCAAGAAAAGAAUAAUAAUGAAACUCCUCUAUUAAUUUUAAGCGAAAACCCAAAAUUAAGAGGGCCGGAACUACUUAAGAGUACUAAGAUUCAGAUUAGAGCGCAUGAAAGGGAUUUGAGAUCAACAAUGGUUGGUGUAUGGGGAUUCUCUUUCCGGUUCAAAUGGCAUAGUUCGAUUCUGGAAUGUGAGGAUCCAUUUGUUUAGACUGUUACAAUUCAUACAUGUCGAUAUUUUAACGACACGAAGCGAAGGAUGAUCAAACAAAUUUUUGCAUACAUUUAUGGGAAAAUUCAUUUGAAAUGUAAUUUUGCUCUUUACUUGGAUUUGGAUACUUCUGUCUAUUGUAUGAGGUUUAACAACUAUUACCCCAUAUCAAACCUAACUUUAUUAUGUGUUUAAUAAUGGUCUUCGUUGAAUGUAUAGUCAACAAAACAAGCUGAGCUUAACCCACACACGUUGAUAUCACAACCAUACAAUACAAAGUUACAGACAAAUUCCAUCAUCUCUUUCACACUUGCUAGCUGGCUUUUCUGAACUUUAGACGACAGCCAUUCAUGGUGAUGGUGGUUCUCUUUCCACCACUCCCAGAUUGUUUUUCCAGUUGAUAAUUACAGAUAUAAAUAUAUAAAUAAAGUCAAAUUACCCAUAAUUAAUUUUCAAUUAUUUUUGGUUUUUAAGUUAGUAACUUCACUGUUACGAAAAGGGUUUCAAUUGAAAGUCUCAAAAAGAAAACAAGUAAGCAAAAUAUCAGUGGAGAGAGAGCAAGUUGGCACCUUUAAACUUGAAUGUGGAUCAAUGGAGAAUCUUGAAAGCGUGGACUCUGAAUCUCUUCUCAUAAGUCUUGAAGAGAGAGUGAGACCAAGGUAAAAAAGAAGAGUUUGAGUUUUGCUACAAAUUAAACAAUAAGCGUGGUGAUUGAUCUGUCUCAAGAUUUAAAGGCUUAUUAAGCAAACAAGCCUAAUUCAGACUUAGCUGGGGCGAUGUCAAGUCUUGCUAAUUUACGUGCCCUCCUAUGUUAUGGAAUAUUGUAAUCAAAUAUUAAAAUUGCAAUUGUUUUUCUCUCUUCACUUUCAUCGGUCGUCACAUAGUCCCUCUCUUCUUGUGUCCUUCCAUGCCAUCCAUUGGUCGGAUAGCCUCUCUUGUUGGCUCCAUGCCAUGUACCAGGACUUAACAUAGAUUCUAAAUUGAUUAUAACAGCCGCACUAAUCAACAGCCGACAAUGACUCGUGAUAUUAACAUUUACUUUAUUGAAACAUAUUUAUACAUUAAAAUUAGAAAAAGUCAAACUCAUACAUUAGUUUAUUUACAUACAAACACAAUGCCCUUCCAGAAAGGGAUUCCUAUUUAGACUGUAGUUCAAUAAUCUAUACCGUGCAUUUAACCUAGCCAAAUAAGAAAUUAUUUAACUAUUAUAGCAUCAUGAAAUUUGACCCCUUUCCCGGCCAAGUUCACCGAGAAAAGACUUUAUAGAUAUAUGCAUUUGUAAAAGAGCUUAUAGCUCAAUGGCUAAGAUCAUUCUUCGCUUCCUCAUCCCCCAUUAUGGCUUGUAUCAAAAGGAAAUAUGUAUGUACAUCCGACUCUAUGAUUAUGAAUCUCAAUAAUUUUUGUCUCUUUUUUAUGCAAGCGUUAUUAGGGAAGGAGGGAAUCGAACAAUGACCUCGUGUAUAGAAAUAAUACUCUUAACCACUUGAGCUACAAACCUAUUACAUAAUUUGUGUAUAUUUUGCAUCACUGUGUGGUAUAAUAUGUUGCAUCACUGCGUGGGUUUACUCUAAUAAAACAACGACAAUAGUUUUAUAGCCUUACUCUUUGAUACUACUGCGAAAGAUUGUCAUCGGAUCGAGACAAAAAAUAAAUUUUAGUAGUGUUUAUGUAGUAAUACGGCCAAAGGCAAAAUAGUAAAUUACAUUUUUUUUCUUCUUCUUUUGACGAUAAUAAUAGAACAUUUAAAGAAUUUUAUGGCUCUUUUCUUGUCAUCCAUCUUUUUGUUUAGAUUGUUAACAUUCAGACGUCCAUGCCAGGAGGGAAAGACAAAAGAAAAAACGCUAUUUCAUAUGUGAGCAAAAGGCAUAUAUGAAAUAAAAACAAAAGAAUGAGGCCAAAAUGUAAUUAUGGAUUGAGUGAAUUUUAAAUAACAAUAAUUAUAGGGGACCCUAAGUUUGUUUGUCAAUGAUGCAUUAGUAGUAUGCAUAUAGUAUGUUUGUGAGAUAAUAGUAUUCUACACAAAUAAUACGGAAAGCAUCAUCUCAUCCUGCAAGCGGUGCCUCAGUGCCCUCAUUCCUGCAUUAUAGGUUUUUCUUUCUUUCUUUUUGUUGUCAAUUAGGAAAGGGAGGAUGAUUUUUUCUCACACACUUCUAAGGUAGUAUGAGAUUCGGAUCAGAGACUAUUGAUCUUCAAGUGCUCUUUUCCACUAGACUAGAGGCCGUUUGCUAUAGUUUUCUUCAAUCUUCAUAAUCUUUUUCAUGUAUGGCACAAGUUAAACCUAGAGUUUAGGAAAAGGUUGAUGAGCAACAGACUUUAGUCAAAGGAUUGAGAUGAAAUCUUCGGAGAGCAUGAAUGAAAAGGAAUUUUGAGAAAGGUUUUAUGUAAAAGAGGACAAUAUGUCUUUAUCUUAUUCCCUUUCAUUGUUCGGAGUACAACAUUUCUAGUAUUUUCCAUAGCAAAUGCUAAACUUUUAGGUCAACUAAGCUAAUAAUUUAUUUUCAGACUCAUAGAAUGAUAUACAAACACACAUAUAAAUUCCAAUAAACUCUACAAAUUAUCUAUUUCAUCAAUCAUAUCCUAAAUAUAGAGUCAUUGAAUGCCGACGCGAGGUAAGGUUCAACGUUACUCAUAGCUUCGAAAACAGUGGUUUUAUCUUAUCCUCACCCUCAUAUGAGGUAAGGUUCCUUCUCCCAUUUGCGGUUGAGAGAGUAAGGUUCAAUUAGUCCAACAACCGAGCCCGCAUGUGUAAAGAAAUUUGCCUAAUCCCUUAAUCCUAUCGCUCAUUUGUCAAAAACAAAAACACGUGUUAUCAGAGAAGGGGGAUUCGAACAUAUAAUCUUAUAAGGAGCAAAAUAACUGCUAUUAACCACUUGAGCUAAAAACUUAUUGCUAAAAAAACCUCAUUGUUGAUAGGGCCACAGGAGUGGAGUUAUGCCAAGACCAUUAAGGCAAAAGAAGAAUCUAAUAAUUAACCAACCAGUGGGGAUUCCUGUAUUAUCUUACAAUGGAGGAUUUGAUGUAGAAAUUAGAUUGGCAGUGUUUGCACCUGAAAAAUAGUCGCUGGCGACACGUCAGCGUGUGCGAGAGGAGCACGGCCAAAGCCAACGCAACAAUGAUUAAACAGAAUAAACUAAUAAAAUAAUAUAAAUAAUAAAUAAAUGCAGACAUAAACAACAUGCUCCUUUGUUGUUGUGAGACGAGUCGACCAUGUACAAAUACACAAAAAUAUAUUAUCUAGAGUUGCAAAGACGUCAAACCUCUGACCAAAGGAGGUGGACCGAAACUGCGUCCAGGUUCAAUGAAUCUAAAUGCGUUGAAUUUCCCAAUUCAGUAUUAAAGUGCAUGUUGUUGGUGUGACGAUGAGAAGAUAAAGCCAUCGCCAUUGCUGCAGUGGAAAGAGAAGGAGUCUAUACAGAAACACAUGUACAGAUAGAUGAUGUGCAUGUGUUUUCUUCGUGUUGGUUUGCACGAUAUUGCAGUUGAGUUUCUUCAUUUUAAUUGCAAAAUAUUAGAUUGUCUUGUAUUAAAUGAAUUCGUUUUUAAUUAAAUAUUUAAGCAGUAAUGAUGAUAAGAGAUUUACCGGUGAACAAAAGCACGAUCUCCGGACAAAUUUACUCCCAAAGACAUGCGGGGUUGAUUAGGGACAAACAGCAGCUUUUCAAGGCGCUCUUCCUUUUGUCGGCGGGCUCGGAGAGAGCCCUGGUCAUAAGUAGGAGAGAAACUUUCAUGCAACGGGGAUAAUACUUUCUGCUAUUCCUGAUCAAAUAGUAAAAUGACACGUGGGAUAACAUUUUAUUACAUUAUUGGUUGGAGAUAGCAAAAUAAUACCAUCUCCAUCACAAAAGAGUUUUUUUUGAAGGAGUGGACUAUGCUUUCUCAUUUUUUUUUAAAUCCCUUUAUUAUAUCUAUAGGAUAUGGAAAGAGGUAACAAGAAAAAAUGAUAAAUUUAAGUUUUCGCCCCCGCCCCAUAAACAUUGAAUCCUUGUUCCGCCCUUGUUUGCGAGGGAAGCUGGACUCGACCCAUAUUUGGGCUGAAAGUCCACAUAAGCCUUCAUGGUAAAAAGAAGAGGGAGCUUCUACAAUGAGGAGUUUAGAGUGAGGAGUUUAUUUGAGGAGUUCAAUCCCGCUAUUGAACUAUUUAAAAUGUUUAAGUCCAUUGAUUUUUUUACAUUUGUUGAUGGUGGAAUUGAACUUCUCAAAUAAACUCCUCACUCUAAACUCCUCAUUAUAGUCUUUUCGAAAAGAAAAAAAGGCUAUCAAAAUCAACUUGUUGGUUUAGGUAUUCCCAAUCAAUCAUACCCAAUUACAUGCUACUAUGGUUGUUACUGCUGUACUAGCCCAAGGAACACACACAAUCAAUCCAUUGGUAUCCUAGUCCCAAGUCAGACGACUAAUUUACAUAAAUGAUGUACAUGUAUUUUCUUGUGUAUGCGUUGCAUGUUAGCAUGCACGAUAUUACAGUUGAGGUUGUUCUUUUUAUUUGCCAAAAGAAAUUUAGAAUAAGACUGAUUAGGCCGCGAUAGAAGAACACGAUACAUCGUUUUGCUUGUUUUUGUGUUGUUUUGUCUAUUUUUUGUUUAUUAUUGAUACUUGAGAUUUUUUUAUUUAUAAAAAUGGAGUCGAGGCUUGGGUUUUUGUGGGGUGUAGUUUUUAGGUGUUUUGAAGCCUGGUUGGUAUAAUUGGCCCGUUUAAAAAUCAACUUGGUUUAUUUCUAGAGUUUGGGUAUUGUAGUCUGUUUUUUUUAUAAAUUGGGCUCGAGUGAAUCUUAUAUGUGGAGCCUACCUUUAUUAGAUAGUAAAAAAUAGAACCCCAAUAAAAGCAUUGGACCAUGGGUUCACCAAAAAUAAGUUUUGUGUUGGGAAGCUAUCAAGAAUUCUACAAUGAGGGCUUUAUAUAUGGCCCUUAGAUGAGAUCUUAUCUCUUAAUUGUUGGAUCAUAUUAAUUAAUUUAAUUCAACAAUUAAGAGAUAAGGUCUCACUUAAAGGCUAUGUAUAAAGCCCCCACUAUAGAAUGACUCGAGAAUCAAUGGUCUGAACUUGUAUGUGACAACAAUGUGUCCAAACUUGUAUGUAGAUGCAUUGUUUCCAAUAAGAGCUAGGCACCCAAAGUAAAUCGAUUCGAGAGGCCCAAACCACUAAUCGAAUUGACGCUUUUAGUGAAGUACAUUCUGUCGCUGAAGCCAAACCACCCCAUCGAAAAAUUGUAGUUCUCAAUUCAUUGAAUAGACGGUUCGAUGUUGGGUUAAUUUCAGUUUCCGAACUGAUGACAACAGAUGAAGAAGAAGACGACAAACAUAGAGAUGAUGAUGUUGAAUCUACAAAUGGAGAAAAGAAAAUGAUGCUUGUUGGUCUGGUUGGGCUUGAGAGAAGAAGAGCGAGAUGAAGAGAAAUGAAGAAAAGAGAGAAGGAGACAGAGGAUGUUAGGAUAAAAUGUAAGAAUGGCUUAGGGUUUUAAGCUUUAACCCUAACAUUUACAAAGACAACGAAGCUAGGAAACUUGUAAGUAUGUUCACUAUAUUUAAAAAGCACAAGGAGGUUCAUUAGUGUAGUGGUGUUACAUUUGGAGAUAGGGGUUGAUUCCUCUUGGCUUCAAGGCCUCUAAAUAUUAUGGAAUUUUUUUAGACUGGUUUCAAGUGAACCGGCCGGUUUGCUAGAGUUACUGUUUCAGCCGAGUUAUAUUUUCAACAAAAUCUAAACCUAGGUUAUCUUUUCAGUAAACAAAGGAGAUAUCAUUAAGAUAAACAAAUGAUAACAAAAAUUUGAAUUUAGUGGAUUCUUUUGCAAAGUCAUAAUCCUUAAAAAUAAAUGUGGACAUUGGUGCCAAAAACUCAAAACUGACUACACCGAACUAGUCCAAUCAAUAAUUUACGUAUAAGGGCCCUAUAUUUUAUACCAACUGAUUCAAAUUGUGAAAAGAAACCGAAUUGAAUAAUUCUCAAAUUAUGGAAAAGCAAACAAGACUGAGUAUUAUUAAUUCUCUCAUAAAUUAACAUUUGAAAAAACAUGUAAUUCUCUUAUGCAGAUUUAGAAUGUUAUUUGGUUUAUUUUGAUGAAGUAGAAAUAGAAAAUGUGAGUUCAUGUAACUCAAGUAGUUAACAACAUAGUUGUGUUCAAUUCUCCCAUGUAUUGUUUGUAUAAAUUAAUUAAUUAAUUAAAGAGAUUUCAAUAAAUAAAUAAAAGAGAGGCUAUUUUAAAACCUAAGAACCAAAUAAGGGUGUUGGCCCGAAGAAGACAGUGAAAAAUAGGUAAGAAAUAAACUUUCUCACCAUAGAACGACUCAAUUAACCAAUACCAAAAAGAAACUGGUCAGUUGCAAAGGACCCAUUAGUAUAGUGGUUUGGAAAAUUUAUUCCCUCAGGCAAGAUCCGGGGUUCGAAUCCUAACAUCCGUGUUUUGUGUAUGAGUUUAAUAUGCUAUCACCCCUUUCAAUAAGAAAGGUCCUCAAAAAAAAAAAAAAAAGACUGGUCAGUUUGGGUCCAGUAGCAUAUUGUAUUUUAUGUCAAACAUAAAUGAAGAGGGAGAAAAACUUCUAUAUCUCUUAUCAAUCUCGUUCGGUCGUGCGCAAUAACUUUUUUACUUAAUAGGAGGAUAGCAAAACUGUAUUAUUCCCGUGAUAUACAAAUCCUUUCUCUCAUGAAGAGGGGUAAAAAUUAGAAAUUCUUCUUGUAUUGUAAAUUCUAACUAUGAUACAUCAACAUCACUUCGAAUUGGCGAUAGGAAAAGGAAAACACAUCACCAUCAAUAUGGCUACAGCUCACAUGAUGAUCAAACACACCAACGCAAAAAACACACCCCCAUGGCCUCUUUUAUUGUUUAUGGAGGACCACCUUUUGGAAUGUUUUACCCACAACGGAGGUAAUGGCAAAUAUUAAAAUUGGAUCCACUUUUGCUUCCAUAUGGGGUAACCUUAGAAUGAAUGGAUUCAAGAGGGUAAUAACUCUGCUUUUUUCACUUUUGAAAUGCUUUCCAUCACUGCAGAUGGUGACACGUGUCCUCUAACUGUUACCAUCUUUGUCUCUAGGUCGAUACUGAAUGAUGUAACUCCUGGUAUAACAAGAAUUAUUAAAAAAUAAAAUAAAAUCCCAAAAGUAUUAAUCAUUUGCUUAAUGUAAAAACUACCCCUUAAACCACCACUUAUUAGCGCAUGCUAAUUGCACUUUUAUAAAGAAAUUUUCAUUAUUUUUAGGGAGAUUCACUAUUAUACUCAAUAUAGGGGCCCAAAUUAUAAAAAAAACCUAUAUGAAAUGAAUUUUAGAAACACACCCAAAGCUCAUUUACAAUAUAACAAAGAGGUUUCGAACUUCAUAUAAAUUACAAAGCUGCCAUCGAUUUUUUAAAACAAGCCCAACUCCAAAACUCAUUAAAAAAUAAAAAACGAAAACACUCAGUAGGGCAUUAAAGUAAUCACAAUUAAAUUCAAUAAGGCUUGCUGUCAUUUUUUGAGUUUUUUCGGGUUUGUUUAUAGAAAUUAAAUGGUGUAGGGUAUCUAUAUCACUUGUGCUAAGAAUAGGUAUAUAACUAAAUAUCUCUUAUUUUUAUCGUAUUAGCACAUAUUAGUAAACCUUUUAUAAUGCAAUUAAUGUCAACAAAUCCAAGGAAAAAAGAAACACAAGAAAAUGAAAGAAGUAAGGAGAAAAAGGCCUUUGAAUUAAUGUUGACACAUUGAUGUAGCAAGCAAAGGCGUACGUACCUUCCAUUUUAGAAAGAUGUUUCUUCACUUUACCAGCACAUCCUUGACAGUGAAUAGAAACUCUCAUAACAACCACCUGCAACAACCAACAUGUAUAACACAUUGUUGUCCCUUCUCACCAUAUAAUAAGAAGAGCAUUUCGAAUAGUAUUCAUAUUCAUGGUUGGAAAAUUUGAUGAACUUGGUAAAUAAAAGUAAUUAAUCUUUACCUGGAAUACAUUGUCGUCGGCGGAUGAAGGCCGGACUGAAUCUGAAUGAGAGGACGGUCUUUUUUCGAUCGUCUUUGAGGACAUUGGCUGCUGAUGGGUAAGAGGAAGAAGAUCAUGAUGAUGAUCAGCUCCUACUUGUUUGCUGGUGGACGGCAUAAUUAAUAAGGGCGAUAUUUUGCCAUGAUCAUGAACAUGAUGAGGAGGAGGAGGAGAAGUGAGGAGCCUGGAGUAGUAGUAUUUGUUGCUGUUGAGCAGUGAUCUUGUGUAGUGUGUGCGAUUGAAAUUAAUAUCAAAAUUAUUAUUAAGACUACUAGUGGAUGAUCUUCUAGGCACCAUAACUGAGCGAGCAUCGGCUCUACUCAUACAAACGGCGGUCGCUGCCGGAGACUGGCACAUGAAGCCCCUCAUGAUCAUCAUCUUCUUAUCCUUCUUCUCCUUAGUACUAGUAGAACUGUUUUUUAUGUUCAUGGCUAGCUAUCUAGAGAGAGAGAGAGAGAGA
rnacentral:lncRNA from 1 species